rnacentral:rRNA from 1 species
UACGGAGGGUGCGAGCGUUGUUCGGAAUUACUGGGCGUAAAGGGCGCGUAGGCGGCCAGCACAGGUCAGUUGUGAAAUCUCCGGGCUUAACUCGGAAAGGUCAACUGAUACUGUGCGGCUAGAGUGCAGAAGGGGCAACUGGAAUUCUCGGUGUAGCGGUGAAAUGCGUAGAUAUCGAGAGGAACACCUGCGGCGAAGGCGGGUUGCUGGGCUGACACUGACGCUGAUGCGCGAAAGCCAGGGGAGCGAACGGG